UUUCUCAUUGGUUUUUUCUUGUCAAACUACAAACAUACUUUUCCACACAAAAUAAAAAAACACCACUCAGUGAUGAUCCUUCCGCAGGUUCACCUACGGAAA
rnacentral:misc_RNA from 1 species